rnacentral:lncRNA from 1 species
CCUCUCUCCAUCUGGAAGGGACAUCCUCGCAGACAUCAGUGGUAGCAAGGUCUUGGCCCAGGGGCUCCUCCCAUCUCCCCUGGCCUUUGAUGGCCUGGGGCACUGCUCGCUGGGCCAUGGUGCCCUGAGUCCUGGCUACAGCCCUCAGAGGCAAAUGGAGACCCCGCAGCCGCCACCUCCACCUCUGCCUGGACCCUGAGCCCAUGGCGGGCACAGAUGCGGCACUCUCGUGCUACCCCGUAGCCUCCACUCCUAGAGCUGCCAUGUCCCAGUCUGUCCCCUGCCACCGCUGCCCCAGGGAAUCCAUUGUGGCCAUUUCUCUUUGUUCAGACAGAGAAACCAGCAAACCAGAAGGAACCCACCACGGCCCACACCGUGAAGCUACCGGGAGCCCUGUUCAGUGUCACAGAGGUAGGUGCUCUGAGGACAGGAAGAUCACCUGUGGGCGCAGACUAGGGUGGGUGGGGAGCUUCUGUUGCCUGAGGCCAUUAGGGUCCAGUGAGAAGGAAUUGGAGGCCCAGAGGGCUGACAGAUGACAUCUUGGGCAUCCUCAAGGAAGGAAACAAGAUGGCUGCCUAGAGCUAAAAAAAAAAAAACGCUAGGGGAGCUUUGGCCAGGGGAAGGCCAAGUGGUCAGUGUGGUCUCUGUUGGGAGCCCUCACUCUGCUCCCAUAGGGGCAGCCGUCUCGGACACAGGUGAGGGCGUAGGUAUUGCUGCAGAAACAGGCCGCAGGCCAGACGGAGCAUGGGCUGCAGCUAUCCGGCUCUAGGUCUGCGCCAGCAAAGGACCCUGUCUUCAUUUCCCUCCUGUGAUGGUCAGAGAAGUUCACUACAGGAAAUUCUAAAGUACACAGCUACGUGACUAGAACCUGAAAGUCACCUACAACUGGGAUGACCACGUGGGUUACCGUCCACACUGACCUGCGAGCUGGGGUGUAGCCAGGUGGGUGCCAGGGUGCAAUACAGUUACUGCAGGUCUAAGGACCAGAGCUGGAGGUUCCAAUUGUCCUUGGCACAGUGAGCAACCCUGCUCAGCAUUCCUGUGUCCCACUCAGUGGCAACCACUUUGGGGACAAGCCUUCUUAGAUGUUUUUUCUGUGCACUGACACUCCCAUUUUGGUUUGCAGCAUCCCUGCAGCAGGAACACGCUUGCUGCCCACCACUGCCUUGUUAUGUAGUCUUCCUUACUCAGGAGAUGCUUUGAUACACUUUCCUGAUCUCUUAAAGUGGACGUGGGAGCUACUUACAAUUUUGUGCUGUUAGAAAUACCUCAGGGUUAUACAGUGGAG